rnacentral:rRNA from 1 species
UGGGGAAUAUUGGACAAUGGAGGAAACUCUGAUGCAGCGACGCCGCGUGAGCGAAGAAGCCUUUCGGGGUGUAAAGCUCUUACGCCAGGGACGAUAAUGACGGUACCUGGAGAAGCAGCUGCGGCUAACUACGUGCCAGCAGCCGCGGUAAUACGUAGGCAGCAAGCGUUGUUCGGAAUUACUGGGCGUAAAGGGUGCGUAGGCGGCGCUCUAAGUUUGGUGUGAAAUCUCCCGGCUUAACUGGGAGGGUGCACUGAAAACUGGGGCACUCGAGUAUGGGAGAGGAAAGCGGAAUUACUGGUGUAGCGGUGAAAUGCGUAGAGAUCAGGAGGAACACCUGCGGUGCAGACGGCUUUCUGGACCAUCACUGACGCUGAGGCACGAAAGCGUGGGUAGCAAACA